rnacentral:lncRNA from 1 species
CGCCAUUGCACUCCAGCCUAGACAAGAAGAUCAAAACUCGUUUUCAAAAAUAUAAAUAAAUAAAAACCCUGUACAAAUUCAGAGACAGAAAAAGUUCUAGAUUCGGGACACCUUGAACCUUUCAGGAAAAUUAACUAUUAUCAUCAAGAAAGGAAAGCUGUAAUAGAUGAUUAAGGCACCUUCCCUACUCCACUGGAUAAAGAACAGAAAGUUUGUGAAAACGCAAGUGACGCAUGUCAGGAGAUACCCUCACCCUGGUAAACAGGUCACAGAAAGGUAGCAGAAUCUUCCCCAAGGGCUCUGCUACAGCCCAGCAGGCCGGACGCUUUGUACCCCCACCAGAAGCCCCAUUCUCACUGCUUCCCAGGCAGACUGUGAGGACUUCACUUAAGCUUCAAAGUCUCUUCUUCACGGACAUAGCUAAACAUAAAAGCAUUAACUACAACCAAUUUGUACUAACAUACCUUAAAAUUUCCCACCACUUGAUUUAGUAUGUUGGUUUUCUUUUGUUUGUUUUUUUUGAGACAGAGUUUCGCUCUUGUUGCCCAGGCUGGAGUGCAAUGGUGCUAUCUUGGCUCACCGCAACCUCCGCCUCCCUGGUUCAAGCAAUUCUCCUGCCUCAGCCUACCCAGUAG